rnacentral:snRNA from 1 species
GUGCUCAUUUUGUUAGCACCUAUCCUAAAAUUAGAUCGUUACAGAGAAGAUUUGCCUGGUCUGUGUGCAAGGAAGCCCAGAUCUCAUUUCCAAUUUUUU